GUGCCAGCCGCCGCGGUAAUACGUGGGGUGCAAGCGUUGUUCGGAAUUACUGGGCGUAAAGCGCGUGUAGGCGGCCUAUUAUGUCAGGUGUGAAAGCCCUCGGCCUAACCGAGGAAGUGCGCCUGAAACUGAUAGGCUUGAGUACGAGAGAGGAGGACGGAAUUCCCAGUGUAGAGGUGAAAUUCGUAGAUAUUGGGAGGAACACCGGUGGCGAAAGCGGUUCUCUGGAUCGAUACUGACGCUAAGACGCGAAAGCGUGGGGAGCAAACAGGAUUAGAAACCCUAGUAGUCC
rnacentral:rRNA from 1 species